rnacentral:rRNA from 1 species
AUACAGAGGGUGCUAGCGUUAAUCGGAUUUACUGGGCGUAAAGCGUGUGUAGGUGGUUUAUCGCGUCGGUUGUGAAAUCCCCGGGCUCAACCUGGGAACUGCUUCCGAUACGGGUAGACUAGAGUACGGUAGAGGGUGGUGGAAUUUCCGGUGUAGCGGUGAAAUGCGUAGAUAUCGGAAGGAACAUCAAUGGCGAAGGCAGCCGCCUGGGCCUGUACUGACGCUGAGACACGAAAGCGUGGGGAUCGAACAGGAUUAGAUACCCUGGUAGUCCACGCCGUAAACGAUGCUCACUCGCUGUUGGCGACACACAGUCAGCGGCCAAGCGAAAGCGUUAAGUGAACCACCUGGGGAGUACGAUCGCAAGGUUGAAACUCAAAGGAAUUGACGGGGCCCGCACAAGCGGUGGAGCAUGUGGAUUAAUUCGAUGAUACGCGAGGAACCUUACCAGGGCUUAAAUGAUAAUUGACCGUCGCCGAAAGGUGUCUUUCUUUUAGACAAGUAUCAAGGUGCUGCAU